rnacentral:rRNA from 1 species
GGGGGAUAUUGCGCAAUGGGGGCAACCCUGACGCAGCAACGCCGCGUGAAGGAUGAAGGUUUUCGGAUUGUAAACUUCUUUUAUUAAGGACGAAAAAUGACGGUACUUAAUGAAUAAGCUCCGGCUAACUACGUGCCAGCAGCCGCGGUAAUACGUAGGGAGCGAGCGUUGUCCGGAUUUACUGGGUGUAAAGGGUGCGUAGGCGGCCGAGCAAGUCAGUUGUGAAAACUAUGGGCUUAACCCAUAACGUGCAAUUGAAACUGUCCGGCUUGAGUGAAGUAGAGGUAGGCGGAAUUCCCGGUGUAGCGGUGAAAUGCGUAGAGAUCGGGAGGAACACCAGUGGCGAAGGCGGCCUACUGGGCUUUAACUGACGCUGAGGCACGAAAGCAUGGGUAGCAAACAGGAUUAGAUACCCUGGUAGUCCAUGCCGUAAACGAUGAUUACUAGGUGUGGGGGGACUGACCCCUUCCGUGCCGCAGUUAACACAAUAAGUAAUCCACCUGGGGAGUACGGCCGCAAGGUUGAAACUCAAAGGAAUUGACGGGGGCCCGCACAAGCAGUGGAGUAUGUGGUUUAAUUCGAAGCAACGCGAAGAACCUUACCAGGUCUUGACAUCCUGAGAAUCCUUAAGAGAUUAGGGAGUGCCUUCGGGAACUCAGAGACAGGUGGUGCAUGGUUGUCGUCAGCUCGUGUCGUGAGAUGUUGGGUUAAGUCCCGCAACGAGCGCAACCCUUGCUAUUAGUUGCUACGCAAGAGCACUCUAAUAGGACUGCCGUUGACAAAACGGAGGAAGGUGGGGACGACGUCAAAUCAUCAUGCCCCUUAUGACCUGGGCUACACACGUACUACAAUGGCCAUUAACAGAGGGAAGCAAAACCGCGAGGCAGAGCAAACCCCUAAAAAUGGUCCCAGUUCGGAUUGUAGGCUGCAACCCGCCUACAUGAAGUUGGAAUUGCUAGUAAUCGCGGAUCAGCAUGCCGCGGUGAAUACGUUCCCG